rnacentral:rRNA from 1 species
UACGGAGGGACUAGCGUUGUUCGGAAUUACUGGGCGUAAAGCGCACGUAGGCGGAUUUGUAAGUCAGGGGUGAAAUCCCGGGGCUCAACCUCGGAACUGCCUUUGAUACUGCAAAUCUCGAGUCCGGAAGAGGUGAGUGGGAAUUCCUAGUGUAGGAGGUGAAAUUCGUAGAUAUUAGGAAGAACACCAGUGGCGGAAGGCGGCUCACUGGUCCGGUACGU